rnacentral:misc_RNA from 1 species
AACCUCACCCCACUUGGGUUUUUGCCCGAGCGGUGGUGGAUUGGGCGUCUGCCGUUAAUGGCUCGCCUGAAAAGCAUAAGCAACUUUGGAUGUAAUACGUUUCAUCCUUUCGAGUGGCUGACAACCCCACAUAUCUCAUG